rnacentral:rRNA from 2 species
GGCUAUCAUGCAAGUCGAGCGGACAGAAGGGAGCUUGCUCCCGGAUGUUAGCGGCGGACGGGUGAGUAACACGUGGGUAACCUGCCUGUAAGACUGGGAUAACUCCGGGAAACCGGAGCUAAUACCGGAUAGUUCCUUGAACCGCAUGGUUCAAGGAUGAAAGACGGUUUCGGCUGUCACUUACAGAUGGACCCGCGGCGCAUUAGCUAGUUGGUGAGGUAACGGCUCACCAAGGCGACGAUGCGUAGCCGACCUGAGAGGGUGAUCGGCCACACUGGGACUGAGACACGGCCCAGACUCCUACGGGAGGCAGCAGUAGGGAAUCUUCCGCAAUGGACGAAAGUCUGACGGAGCAACGCCGCGUGAGUGAUGAAGGUUUUCGGAUCGUAAAGCUCUGUUGUUAGGGAAGAACAAGUGCAAGAGUAACUGCUUGCACCUUGACGGUACCUAACCAGAAAGCCACGGCUAACUACGUGCCAGCAGCCGCGGUAAUACGUAGGUGGCAAGCGUUGUCCGGAAUUAUUGGGCGUAAAGGGCUCGCAGGCGGUUUCUUAAGUCUGAUGUGAAAGCCCCCGGCUCAACCGGGGAGGGUCAUUGGAAACUGGGAAACUUGAGUGCAGAAGAGGAGAGUGGAAUUCCACGUGUAGCGGUGAAAUGCGUAGAGAUGUGGAGGAACACCAGUGGCGAAGGCGACUCUCUGGUCUGUAACUGACGCUGAGGAGCGAAAGCGUGGGGAGCGAACAGGAUUAGAUACCCUGGUAGUCCACGCCGUAAACGAUGAGUGCUAAGUGUUAGGGGGUUUCCGCCCCUUAGUGCUGCAGCUAACGCAUUAAGCACUCCGCCUGGGGAGUACGGUCGCAAGACUGAAACUCAAAGGAAUUGACGGGGGCCCGCACAAGCGGUGGAGCAUGUGGUUUAAUUCGAAGCAACGCGAGAACCUUACCAGGUCUUGACAUCCUCUGACACCUAGAGAUAGGGCUUCCCUUCGGGGACAGAGUGAACAGUGGUGCAUGGUUGUCGUCAGCUCCGUGUCGUGAGAUGUGGGUUAGUCCCGCAACGAGCGCAACCCUGAUCUUAGUUGCAGCAUUCAGCUGGGCACUCUAAGUAACUGGCGUGACCACCGGAGAGGUGGGAUGACGUCAAUCAUCAUGCCCUUAUGACCUGCUACACACGUCUACAUUGGCAGACAGGGUUCGCGCAGACCGCAAGGCUGAGCAAUUCGCACA